AACCAGAAGCAUGAAAGUACUUUUCCCACUCAGGUGUGAAAGCUGACCAGGUGACUUUGGGCCAGUCAUUCUCUCUCAGCUCAACUCACCUCAGAGAGUUGUGGGGAAAAGAGGAAAAAGAAGGAAUAUUAAGGGUGGCCAAGACUGGGUUGUAAAGAUCCAGCUGAGACAUACUGCAAAUUCUAACUACUUGAUGCCUCAUCUGAUAGCUUCAUGUUUCCCUGUGCAUGAACUAGAGAAGAAAAAUCCUUCUCUUCGGCAGAGAAUGAGUGAGGUGCAAAGUAACAAGCUGCUUGAAUCUUUUGUCAUGGUUUUGCUUUGGUUCAUGGUUUUACUUGUAGAGAGAGUUCCCAGGCAGCUGAAAGUCUUCAACAGGGUGUGAGCUGGCUCAUAUUGCUAUUAGGAUGCCUUGAGAAUUCUUGCAUAGCAUUGCGGAGAAAAGCAUCUACAAAUAAACUACCCAAGGACAAAGAUAAUUGUUUUGGUACAAGCCUUAAGUUAUAUUGUUGACUUAUAGAUGGGCAUAAGACAGAACAGGUAAAAUAUUUCAGUUAUCUUGAAGUGCUGGUCCAUUCUUCUAGGAAUUUGAAAUGGCAAAGGGAACACACAGUGUUGAUAGAUCACAGGAACUCAACAGCUUUCCUGGAAUUUCUCCACCCAGAAGAGGAUGGUCUGGUACAGGUAGUCUUUGACCUGUAUCACAAUUAGGACCACAAUUG